UGACACUAGACUUUGUGAACUCAGGUCAUUGAGCACAAACCUUAUGAUCACAGGGCAGAUGUUUUUAGCUACGCAAUUGUGCUGUGGGAACUUUUGACUGGCGAAGUCCCAUAUUCUUACUUGACUCCACUGCAAGCUGCUGUUGGCGUUGUCCAAAAGGGACUUCGCCCAAAAAUUCCAAAGCAAACACACCCAAAACUGACUGAACUUCUUGAGAAAUGUUGGCAGCAAGACCCAGCUCAAAGACCCGAUUUUGCAGAAAUCAUAGAAAUGCUUAACAUACUAGUCCACGAGGUUGGAGAAGAUGAGCGCCAAAAGGACAAACAUGGUGGUUACUUUUCAGGCCUAAGGAAAGGCCAUCGUUGACACUCUCUCGAGUGCCCUGAAACUGUGGUUUGAUCGGUUUGAUAGAGCUCUACUCACUUUCUCGUUUUCCUUUUGUACAGUCUCUUAGAGCCUCACUCUUUUUGUCCAUGUAUUAUUUUUCUAGAGCAAUUUCCUUUUGAUACAAUGAUCACUGCAGAGUUUGAGUUGCAUUGCAAGUCAAUAAAGUUUAAACCAUUCUUUUGAA